CUCACUUACCAUGGAAACAGUUCCAGCCAGAGGCUGCCGGUGGAGCAAGAAGACAACUUGGUGCCGCAAGAAGAGGACUUGUGCGGCGGGGGUCAGAGGCAGCUGCAGCAAAAGCCCACUGACCCCACACUCGACGUGGCCGUCCCACAGCUCGCACCACGUGAUGAGGACAAGACCAGUGACGUGGAACAGAUGGACGACCUGAUCCGAUCACGAUUGGUGAAGACAACCAGCUGGCGCGUGUUCACCA